rnacentral:rRNA from 1 species
GACGAACGCUGGCGGCGUGCUUAACACAUGCAAGUCGAACGAAGUGGCGAACGGGUGAGUAACGCGUAAUCAACCUGCCCUUCAGGGGGGGACAACAGUUGGAAAAGACUGCUAAUACCGCAUACUGAAGGAGGGGCUUGCGUCUGAUUAGCUAGUUGGAGGGGUAACGGCCGACCAAGGCGAUGAUCAGUAGACGGGCUGGGAGGAUGAACGGCCACAUUGGGACGGGGACACGGCCCAGACUCCUACGGGAGGCAGCAGGGGGGAAGCUUCCGGAAUGGACGAAAGUCUGACGGAGCAACGCCGCGUGAGUGAGGAAGGCCUUCGGGUUGUAAAGCUCUGUUAAUCGGGACGCGGUACCGGAAUAGAAAGCCACGGCUAACUACGUGCCAGCAGCCGCGGUAAUUC